GUAACUAUAACGGUCCUAAGGUAGCGAAAUUCCUUGUCGGUUAAAUACCGACCUGCAUGAAUGGCGUAACGAGAUGGGAGCUGUCUCAAAGAGGGAUCCAGUGAAAUUGUAGUGGAGGUGAAAAUUCCUCCUACCCGCGGCAAGACGGAGAGACCCCGUGGACCUUUACUAUAGCUUGACACUGCUAUUUGGAUAAAGAUGUGCAGGAUAGGUGGGAGGCUUUGAAGCUAGGACGCCAGUUCUAGCAGAGCCAUUGUUGAGAUACCACUCUUCUUUAUUUGGGUAGCUAACUAGCCUAAGUUAUCCUUAGGUAGGACAAUGUCUGGUGGGUAGUUUGACUGGGGCGGUCGCCUCCCAAAUAAUAACGGAGGCUUACAAAGGUUGGCUCAGAACGGUUGGAAAUCGUUCGUAGAGUAUAAAGGUAUAAGCCAGCUUAACUGCAAGACAUACAAGUCAAGCAGAGACGAAAGUCGGUCUUAGUGAUCCGGUGGUUCUGUGUGGAAGGGCCAUCGCUCAAAGGAUAAAAGGUACCCCGGGGAUAACAGGCUGAUCUCCCCCAAGAGCUCACAUCGACGGGGAGGUUUGGCACCUCGAUGUCGGCUCAUCGCAUCCUGGGGCUGGAGCAGGUCCCAAGGGUAUGGCUGUUCGCCAUUUAAAGCGGUACGCGAGCUGGGUUCAGAA
rnacentral:rRNA from 1 species